UUUUAGUAAGAAGGGCAAGAAACAGAUGGACGCACAGUAAUGUCACUAAAAAUAACGUUUGAAACGUGCCAAAUCUGCUGGACAACUGCUGACAAUCUGACCUCAGAACGACCUUGAAUUGCAAAAAGAAAAACUAAAUGCUGGAACUCUGAAAUGAAGGCAGGAAAAUGAUCCGCCAAAAAAUGGAGAAGGAAAAAGUUUCGCCUUCAGACCCUUGGUUUCAGUGAAAUGUUAUCUGGCAAGAAACAAACAAGUCCCGGAGCAAUGAAAAACAAGUGGAAAGACAUGUUUGGAUUGCUGAUAUAAAAUUGGCUGGCUAGCUCACCAGCACUCUCUUGCGGAAAUGUGUAUAAACUACAACCUGUGAUUGAAUUAGUUUUCUGAUGUACACAUCUCAAGAAAGGACACUUGUCCUAGACUCAUGAAA